rnacentral:rRNA from 1 species
UUCGCCCUUAGAGUUUGAUCCUGGCUCAGGACGAACGCUGGCGGCGCGCCUAACACAUGCAAGUCGAACGAGCGAGAGGAGGUUUACUUUCUCAAGCGAGUGGCGAACGGGUGAGUAACGCGUGAGGAACCUGCCUCAAAGAGGGGGACAACAGUUGGAAACGACUGCUAAUACCGCAUAAGCCCACGGUGCCGCAUGGCACAGAGGGAAAAGGAGCAAUCCGCUUUGAGAUGGCCUCGCGUCCGAUUAGCUAGUUGGUGAGGUAAUGGCCCACCAAGGCGACGAUCGGUAGCCGGACUGAGAGGUUGAACGGCCACAUUGGGACUGAGACACGGCCCAGACUCCUACGGGAGGCAGCAGUGGGGAAUAUUGCACAAUGGGGGAAACCCUGAUGCAGCGACGCCGCGUGGAGGAAGAAGGUCUUCGGAUUGUAAACUCCUGUUGUUGAGGAAGAUAAUGACGGUACUCAACAAGGAAGUGACGGCUAACUACGUGCCUGCAGCCGCGGUAAAACGUAGGUCACAAGCGUUGUCCGGAAUUACUGGGUGUAAAGGGAGCGCAGGCGGGAAGACAAGUUGGAAGUGAAAUCCAUGGGCUCAACCCAUGAACUGCUUUCAAAACUGUUUUUCUUGAGUAGUGCAGAGGUAGGCGGAAUUCCCGGUGUAGCGGUGGAAUGCGUAGAUAUCGGGAGGAACACCAGUGGCGAAGGCGGCCUACUGGGCACCAACUGACGCUGAGGCUCGAAAGUGUGGGUAGCAAACAGGAUUAGAUACCCUGGUAGUCCACACUGUAAACGAUGAUUACUAGGGUGUUGGAGGGAUUGACCCCUUCAGUGCCGCAGUUAACACAAUAAGUAAUCCACCUGGGGAGUACGACCGCAAGGUUGAAACUCAAAGGAAUUGACGGGGGCCCGCACAAGCAGUGGAGUAUGUGGUUUAAUUCGACGCAACGCGAAGAACCUUACCAAGUCUUGACAUCCUGCGACGCACAUAGAAAUAUGUUUUUCCUUCGGGACGCAGAGACAGGUGGUGCAUGGUUGUCGUCAGCUCGUGUCGUGAGAUGUUGGGUUAAGUCCCGCAACGAGCGCAACCCUUAUGGUCAGUUACUACGCAAGAGGACUCUGGCCAGACUGCCGUUGACAAAACGGAGGAAGGUGGGGAUGACGUCAAAUCAUCAUGCCCUUUAUGACUUGGGCUACACACGUACUACAAUGGCGUUAAACAAAGAGAAGCAAGACCGCGAGGUGGAGCAAAACUCAGAAACAACGUCCCAGUUCGGACUGCAGGCUGCAACUCGCCUGCACGAAGUCGGAAUUGCUAGUAAUCGCAGAUCAGCAUGCUGCGGUGAAUACGUUCCCGGGCCUUGCACACACCGCCCGUCA